rnacentral:rRNA from 1 species
CCUACGGGAGGCAGCAGUGAGGAAUAUUGGUCAAUGGACGCAAGUCUGAACCAGCCAUGCCGCGUGCAGGAAGACGGCUCUAUGAGUUGUAAACUUCUUUUGUACGAGGGUAAACGCAGAUACGCGUAUCUGUCUGAAAGUAUCGUACGAAUAAGGAUCGGCUAACUCCGUGCCAGCAGCCGCGGUAAUACGGAGGAUUCAAGCGUUAUCCGGAUUUAUUGGGUUUAAAGGGUGCGUAGGCGGUCGGAUAAGUUAGAGGUGAAAUCCCGAGGCUCAACUUCGGAAUUGCCUCUGAUACUGGUCGGCUAGAGAGUAGUAGCGGUAGGCGGAAUGUAUGGUGUAGCGGUGAAAUGCUUAGAGAUCAUACAGAACACCGAUUGCGAAGGCAGCUUACCAGGCUACUACUGACGCUGAGGCACGAAAGCGUGGGGAGCGAACAGGAUUAGAUACCCUUGUAGUC